rnacentral:rRNA from 1 species
UGCGAAGGGGGCUAGCGUUGCUCGGAAUGACUGGGCGUAAAGGGCGCGUAGGCGGAUGGCACAGUCAGAUGUGAAAUUCCCGGGCUUAACCUGGGGGCUGCAUUUGAUACGUGUUGUCUUGAGUUCGGAAGAGGGUCGUGGAAUUCCCAGUGUAGAGGUGAAAUUCGUAGAUAUUGGGAAGAACACCGGUGGCGAAGGCGGCGACCUGGUCCGACACUGACGCUGAGGCGCGAAAGCGUGGGGGAGCAAACAGG